rnacentral:rRNA from 1 species
CCCUUAGAUGUUCUGGGCCGCACGCGCGCUACACUGAUGCAUUCAACGAGUCUAAAACCUGCUCUGAUAGGGGUGGGUAAUCUUUUGAAUGUGCAUCGUGAUUGGGAUAGAUGAUUGCAAUUUUUCAUCUUCAACGAGGAAUGCCUAGUAAACGCAAGUCAUCAGCUUGCAUUGAUUACGUCCCUGCCCUUUGUACACACCGCCCGUCGCUCCUACCGAUUGAAUGAUCCGAUGAAUAUCAUGGAUUGAGGAUGUAAGCAGGUUCGCCUGUCUUCAUCUUCGAGAAGUGAAGUAAAUCUUAUCAUCUAGAGGAAGGAGAAGUCGUAACA